rnacentral:rRNA from 1 species
UAGGGAAACUUACGCUAAUACCGCAUAGACCUACGGGUGAAAGCAGGGGAUCUUCGGACCUUGCGCGAUUGAAUGAGCCGAUGUCGGAUUAGCUAGUUGGCGGGGUGAAGGCCCACCAAGGCGACGAUCCGUAGCUGGUCUGAGAGGAUGAUCAGCCACACUGGAACUGAGACACGGUCCAGACUCCUACGGGAGGCAGCAGCG